CGUAGGGUGCGAGCGUUGUCCGGAAUUACUGGGCGUAAAGGGCUCGUAGGUGGUUUGUCGCGUCGUCUGUGAAAUUCUGGGGCUUAACUCCGGGCGUGCAGGCGAUACGGGCAUAACUUGAGUGCUGUAGGGGUAACUGGAAUUCCUGGUGUAGCGGUGAAAUGCGCAGAUAUCAGGAGGAACACCGAUGGCGAAGGCAGGUUACUGGGCAGUUACUGACGCUGAGGAGCGAAAGCAUGGGGUAGCGAACAGGAUU
rnacentral:rRNA from 1 species